rnacentral:rRNA from 1 species
AGAGUUUGAUCCUGGCUCAGAGUGAACGCUGGCGGCGUGGAUUAGGCACGCAAGUCGAGCGAUAUUUCAGGUGGAGAGGUUGAAGCCGCAAGGCAGAUGCCGAUUUGCCUGAUUUAUAGCGGCAGACUGGUGAGGAACGCGUGAGUAAUCUACCUCUAAAACGGGGAUAGCCUUGCGAAAGUAAGGGUAAUACUCGAUGUGCUCCCGGUGACACAAGUUGCCGGUAGUAAAGGUGGCCCGCAAGGGCUAAUGUUUAGAGAUGAGCUCAUGCCCUAUCAGCUAGUUGGCGGGGUAACGGCCCACCAAGGCUUUUGACGGGUAGCUGGCCUGAGAGGGUGGUCAGCCACACGGGGACUGAGACACUGCCCCGACUCCUACGGGAGGCUGCAGUCGAGGAUAUUUAGCAAUGGGCGAAAGCCUGACUAUGCGACGCCGCGUGAGGGAUGAAGGUUUUCGGAUCGUAAACCUCUUUCGAUGGGGAAGAAAUGCCCGCCACUAAUAUUGGCGGGAGCUGACGGUACCCAGAGAAGAAGCCACGGCCAACUCCGUGCCAGCAGCCGCGGUAAUACGGAGGUGGCGAGCGUUACUCGGAUUCAUUGGGUGUAAAGGGCAGGUAGGUGUCCUGACAAGUGAGAGGUGAAAUCCUUCGACUCAAUCGAAGAACUGCCUUUCAAACUGUCAGGAUUGAGUAUGAGAGAGGAAAGCGGAACUCUCGGUGUAAGGGUGAAAUCUGUAGAUAUCGAGAGGAACACCGGUAGCGAAGGCGGCUUUCUGGAUCAUUACUGACACUGAGCUGCGAAAGCUAGGGGAGCAAACAGGAUUAGAUACCCUGGUAGUCC